rnacentral:lncRNA from 1 species
CUUCAACCCGCCCUCCCACUUCCUGCCCCGGGGCUGCCAGCGAAAGUUGAGGAGGGUGGGGCUGUAGCUCAGGCUCUGGGCGGGCGACUUUCCCUUAGGUGCACGCGCUGACCCAGGCCAGCGGUCUUUUCAGCAGAGUGUGAGGCCGCUGCACCUCGGUGGAGACUAGAAGGUGACCCAUGUAAUGCGGGGCACCCUUGCAUGGCCCUCUGCAAAGACAGAACCCAGGCACGCCUAUCCGGCUGGGCUACUCACUCACGCCCCUAUGGCUCCAUCAAUCUGGCUCGGCAUCGUAGUGUCAGCCCCUGCAUCUCCCUCAGUUUACCUGGCCUGGGGCAGGAUGAGAGGACCACCACCCCCCAUCUUGAUGCCUAUCCCUAGAGGUCAAGAGAGAAGCCAGAUGGAGCCAGGCUGAACAACAGCUGGUCCGCUACAGCAGCAUCCCUGAUGGACCCCAGUGUUAAUUCCGGCAUGUCUGAUCUGCCAGUCCGAGAACCCCAUUCAGAUUCUGAGCACUCCUGGCUCCACCAUCACCAAGGUUCUUCCCCCUUAGGCUCCUCAACAGCCUGCUUCUACCUUCCCCUUCAGUCUGCUCUUCACAGCCGGCAAAGACCUAGCCAAGCCUAGACACAGCCCUGUCACUCUACCACCCCAAAGCAAGCCAUUUGUGGAACUCAGCUCAUAGCAGGUAACUUAGGCCUUGGAUUCUUUGAAAGAACACUAUUUGGCAUGCAUAAGGCUCCAGGCUUCCUCCCUAGCCCUUAAAGCAGCAGUUCUCUACCUGUGGGUCAUAACCCCUUGGGUAGUCAAAAGACCCUUUCACAAGAGUCUCCU